rnacentral:rRNA from 1 species
UUCAAGAGGGCGUGAAACCGCUGAGAUUGAAACGGAUAGAGUUGACUGAACUCGGCUGCAUUCAUCCGGUCGGUCUAGCGGUCCGAUCGUUUUGACUUCCUCGAAGAGGGCGAAGCAGUCGGCAACUGUUGGGCAUUUGAUCGGUGUAUUUGCGGCUGGUAUGCGCUGAGAGCUUUGCGAUCGCGUGUUGACAAACGCGCAGUGGACCAUUCCUUCCGGGCGUGGAACCCUUCGCGCUUUGAGACAUGUCGGUUGUAGGGUUUCAAACAUGGCGUCUCCGCUAUGGUGCGUCAGCUUUUUCGAGCUGUUGUGGCUGCCGGGUGGUCGCGUGCGACUGUCUGCAGUCAUCGAUGGUUCGACAGGAGUGUGGACGCGUCGAGGCGUUGAUCUCGGUGUGAACGUCGACCACCUAUCCGACCCGUCUUGAAACACGGACCAAGGAGUCUAGCAUAUGCGCGAGUCAUUGGGUGAUAAACCUAAAGGCGUAAUGAAAGUAAAAGUCGCCCCGAUGCGACCGAUAUGGGAUCCAUGCGGUUUUUGAGGCCGCACGGCGCACCAUAGCCCCGUCCCCGUUGCUUGCAAUAGGGCGGAGGUAGAGCGCAUACGCUGGGACCCGAAAGAUGGUGAACUAUGCCUGAGCAGGAUGAAGCCAGAGGAAACUCUGGUGGAAGUUCCGAAGCGGUUCUGACGUGCAAAUCGAUCGUCUGACUUGGGUAUAGGGGCGAAAGACUAAUCGAACCAUCUAGUAGCUGGUUCCCUCUGAAGUUUCCCCCAGGAUAGCUGGAGUUCGUUUGGUGCAGUUAUAUUCGGUAAAGCGAAUGAUUAGAGGAAUUGGGGACGAAACGACCUCAACCUAUUCUCAAACUUUCAAUGGGUAUGAAGUCUCGCUUGCUUGACGUUGCUGAAGCGUGGACAUUGAAUGUGAGCUCCAAGUGGGCCAUUUUUGGUAAGCAGAACUGGCGCUGUGGGAUGAACCAAACGUCGGGUUAAAGUGCCAAACUUCCCGCUCAUGAGACCCCAUGAAAGGCGUUGGUUGAUAUAGACAGCAGGACGGUGGCCAUGGAAGUCGGAAUCCGCUAAGGAGUGUGUAACAACUCACCUGCCGAAUCAACUAGCCCUGAAAAUGGAUGGCGCUUGAGCGGGAGACUUAUACCCGACCGUUGCUUGGCUUGUGUGUUUUCUCGUAUGAGAGAUUCGCCUGGCCGCAACGAGUAAGAGGGUCGCAGUGGUUUGCGUUGAAAGCUUUGGGCGUAGGCCCGGCUGGAGCUUCCUCUGGUGCAGAUCUUGGUGGUAGUAGCAAAUAUUCAAGUGAGAUCCUUGAAGACUGAA